AUACCUUUCUCGGCCUUUUGGCUAAGAUCAAGUGUAGUAUCUGUUCUUAUCAGUUUAAUAUCUGAUACGAGGGUCAUCGACCCUCACGAUAUUAAUCUUAUUUAUUUCAGGGUGAGAGUCCAAUCGAGCAGCUUGCUGUUCGGGACUCUCCAGUGUCGCCUAGGUAUUGCACUACCUCCCAGGCCGGCGCAGCCCAC
rfam:Marchantia polymorpha subsp. polymorpha scaffold684, whole genome shotgun sequence.